CUAGGCUUGACAUGCAGGGAAAUCUGGCAGAGAUGCCAGGUCCUUCGGGGCCUUGCACAGGUGGUGCAUGGCUGUCGUCAGCUCGUGUCGUGAGAUGUUGGGUUAAGUCCCGCAACGAGCGCAACCCUCGUUCUAUGUUGCCAGCGGUUCGGCCGGGGACUCAUAGAAGACUGCCGGGGUCAACUCGGAGGAAGGUGGGGAUGACGUCAAGUCAUCAUGCCCCUUAUGUCUAGGGCUGCACGCAUGCUACAAUGGUCGGUACAAAGGGCUGCAAUACCGUAAGGUGGAGCGAAUCCCAAAAAGCCGGCCUCAGUUCGGAUUGGGGUCUGCAACUCGACCCCAUGAAGUCGGAGUCGCUAGUAAUCGCAGAUCAGCAACGCUGCGGUGAAUACGUUCCC
rnacentral:rRNA from 1 species